GUUUAUUUAACUUUGUUAAAGUGUAUAUUUUGAAAAUAUAAAACAGGUUAUACCUAAUAAACU
rnacentral:tRNA from 1 species